UAAGGAAUAUUGGACAAUGGGCGCAAGCCUGAUCCAGCCAUGCCGCGUGAAGGAUUAAGGUCCUCUGGAUUGUAAACUUCUUUUAUAAGGGACGAAAAAAGGGAAUUCUUUCUCACUUGACGGUACCUUAUGAAUAAGCACCGGCUAACUCCGUGCCAGCAGCCGCGGUAAUACGGAGGGUGCAAGCGUUAUCCGGAUUCACUGGGUUUAAAGGGUGCGUAGGCGGGUAUUUAAGUCAGUGGUGAAAUCCUAGAGCUUAACUCUAGAGCUGACAUUGGUACUAUGUAUCGUGAAUAGUGUGGAGGUAAGCGGAAGAUGGAAUGUAGGGGUGAAAUGAUUAGAUAGGACAGAGAAAACCGAGGGCGAAGGCAGCUUACUAAGCAUAUAUUGACGCUGAGGCACGAAAGCGUGGGGAGCAAA
rnacentral:rRNA from 1 species